GAUGAACGCUAGCUACAGGCUUAACACAUGCAAGUCGAGGGGAAACGGCAUUGAGUGCUUGCACUCUUUGGACGUCGACCGGCGCACGGGUGAGUAACGCGUAUCCAACCUUCCCAUUACUGUGGGAUAACCUGCCGAAAGGCAGACUAAUACCGCAUAGUCUUCGAUGACGGCAUCAGAUUUGAAGUAAAGAUUUAUCGGUAAUGGAUGGGGAUGCGUCUGAUUAGCUUGUUGGCGGGGUAACGGCCCACCAAGGCGACGAUCAGUAGGGGUUCUGAGAGGAAGGUCCCCCACAUUGGAACUGAGACAUGGUCCAAACUCCUACGGGAGGCAGCAGUGAGGAAUAUUGGUCAAUGGACGGAAGUCUGAACCAGCCAAGUAGCGUGCAGGAUGACGGCCCUAUGGGUUGUAAACUGCUUUUGUAUGGGGAUAAAGUUAGGGACGUGUCCCUAUUUGCAGGUACCAUGCGAAUAAGGACCGGCUAAUUCCGUGCCAGCAGCCGCGGUAAUACGGAAGGUCCAGGCGUUAUCCGGAUUUAUUGGGUUUAAAGGGAGCGUAGGCUGGAGAUUAAGUGUGUUGUGAAAUGUGGACGCUCAACGUCUGAAUUGCAGCGCAUACUGGUUUCCUUGAGUACGCACAACGUUGGCGGAAUUCGUCGUGUAGCGGUGAAAUGCUUAGAUAUGACGAAGAACUCCGAUUGCGAAGGCAGCUGACGGGAGCGCAACUGACGCUUAAGCUCGAAGGUGCGGGUAUCAAACAGGAUUAGAUACCCUGGUAGUCCGCACAGUAAACGAUGGAUGCCCGCUGUUGGUACCUGGUAUCAGCGGCUAAGCGAAAGCAUUAAGCAUCC
rnacentral:rRNA from 1 species